AGAUGUUUGGUGCUACGUUAUGUGGUUACGUUCGCGUUUUUGCUAGGCACCAGGCACGUGACCGAGUAACAGCAGUAUUUUGUCAACGGUAUCACAGAGUUGGGUUUCGAACUUCAGCAUUCGUCUGAAAAAGUGUGUGUGAAACGGCCUGCCGGACUAACGCAAAACACAGACAACCCGAUGGGCAGACAUCAAUGGUGAAUCCUGUAUACAUUGGAACUUCCCGAACCUUGGUUGCUUCUAUCCAAGAACUCUACGUCGAUAUCACUAGACGCUUGUUCCGUUGAAAUGUCGAUCGCCCGAGACGCUUGGUCGUCAUCUGGGUCAGACGACGGAGGCGCCGUCUUAUGGCGAGCUUUUCUACGGAAGCCGGAUCUACCACUC